CACUGCGCCACAACGGGAACGCCUUGCUUAAUUUCUUUAACCAGGAGAGAUGCUCGUGUGUAAAGGCUUUGCUUUGCAGCUCUCUCUACACCCUGCUUCCAGCGCAGUGAGGCAGAAGAGUGUCAGCUCUGCGAGCUGACAGACCCGGGUCCCAAACCACGGUUCGGUCUCUCCUGGCUGCACAACCUCAGGCAGAUUCCUGAAUCUCUCGGAGCCCGGGUCCUCCUUCGAAAAUUUCAUAAGACACCGUGGUCGUCGCAGAGUGUCUGACACAAGGUCCGAACCAUAUGUACAGUUCCUUCUUCCGUCUUCAAUUUGUCAACAGUUUUUGCUUCGAGACCCCUUUCCCAAGCCCUAGAACCGACACAGAAAGUAGGCCCCCUCCUCCCCGACCACGGUGUGAAGCGGAGGAAAUACCCAUUUGGGGAAGUGAGUGUCCAAGUGUGUCUAAGGCUGAUUCCCAGAUGCUCCCGCCCCACAUCCACCCACAGGGAAAAGGAAGAGAAACCUCUUCCCACAGCAGCGCUUUCUUCAUUUGCCGCAGAAAAAGGAUCGCGGUUCCCGGAGCAAGUGCAACCCAGCCGAGCUGGGAGGCUCUCGGCCACCAAGAGAGCACUUCCGGCGCUUCAACAGGCCAGGCCUCGGCCUUCCUCCUUACUGCUUGUCUGCAACCUACUAUUUUGCGAUUCCCAAAGACAUUCCUAGUUUCCCAAAACAGAACCACUUAUUAUUUCAGUCUGCGUUAG
rnacentral:lncRNA from 1 species